AUUGAACGCUGGCGGCAGGCCUAACACAUGCAAGUCGAGCGGAUGAAGGGAGCUUGCUCCUGGAUUCAGCGGCGGACGGGUGAGUAAUGCCUAGGAAUCUGCCUGGUAGUGGGGGAUAACGUCCGGAAACGGGCGCUAAUACCGCAUACGUCCUGAGGGAGAAAGUGGGGGAUCUUCGGACCUCACGCUAUCAGAUGAGCCUAGGUCGGAUUAGCUAGUUGGUGGGGUAAAGGCAUACCAAGGCGACGAUCCGUAACUGGUCUGAGAGGAUGAUCAGUCACACUGGAACUGAGACACGGUCCAGACUCCUACGGGAGGCAGCAGUGGGGAAUAUUGGACAAUGGGCGAAAGCCUGAUCCAGCCAUGCCGCGUGUGUGAAGAAGGUCUUCGGAUUGUAAAGCACUUUAAGUUGGGAGGAAGGGCAGUAAGUUAAUACCUUGCUGUUUUGACGGUACCAACAGAAUAAGCACCGGCUAACUUCGUG
rnacentral:rRNA from 1 species